rfam:Schistosoma curassoni strain Dakar, Senegal genome assembly, scaffold: SCTD_scaffold0000083
AUCCAGCUGACGAGUCCUAGAUAGGACGAAAUGUGCGUAAUGGAU